AUUCUUGCAUCUUUCAGAUCAGAUGUCUCACCAAUGCAGAACAGCUUCACAGCAGCCAGGCUUCCUGUGUGAGGACCACGCCACUUGCUUGCUGCCCUCUCUGCUUUGUGACGGCAAGAUGGACUGUGGUGAUGGCGGGGAUGAAUCUGCUACCUACUGUGGUCAAAUGCCCAACAGUCUCCCACAAAACUUGAUUUUCAAGUGUCCUGACCAGAAGACAUGGAUAUAUGUGGACAGGGUGUGUGACACAAGAAAUGACUGUGGUGACUGCUCAGAUGAAUCAGUUUCACAGUGCCCAGUGUGCUCAGGCUGGAGAUGUGACACUGUUUUCUUCGCUGACUGUGCCUGCAUUCCCAGAAGUCGAUGCAGAAACGGCAUCCAAGACUGUGCUGACUGGAGUGAUGAAACCCUGUGUGAUUAGGGCUAUAAUCGAGGUUUCGGGAAAGCUGAAAAAUGUCUUUUGCUUUAAAACUUCUCUC